AUUCCAAAGUCAGAUCCCGGCUGGAACAUUUCAGCCCGCCUGCCACGUCAGUUUGCCUCCACCAUCCUCCCUCUCUUAUUCUCUUUCUUUCUCUUCGCUUUCGCAAAAAGGCGAGCGACGCAAAAUGCUCCGUGUCGGUUAGUGUUGGGACACACCGAGGCCACUGGACUCGAGGUCAUCUUAACCCGUGGUUAAUAGUGGUUUCUUUUAGUGGUCUUUUUAUUCUGCUUUAAGAAUGACACGGCCGAGGCCUUGGGAAGAAGGUAGAGCGGGUAGCGACCUGCAGCUGCAAUGACCUCGGGGUCUUUCCUCCCAUCAGAGUUAUCCUAACCCCCCCGCCUGCCCAGUGUUCAGACUACCUGUUCAUCAGGCUACAGCUGAACAGUAGUCUGCACAUUGGUUAGGCUGGGCUGGGACGCACACACCUCCAGCCGCCAAAUCGCCACCUUGGAAAAUGUAUUCUAAUUCUGCUACAUCUUCAUCUGUAUGCAUUAUUUAUCACGUCACCUUGUCUGAACUAUCUUUAUUAUCUCCAGUGGAACACAGAAAGUCCUCUCACCUCCUCGUCUUUGUACCAGGACAGGGACUCUGCAGUCAGGAUAAACCAGUACUCCUUGGAGCCUCCCUUCAUGAUGCUGAUGUUAAUGGUUAGCCAGCCUUUCCUGAUCACCUACACAGGGAGGAGACGAUAUAGGGGAGAGCAAAGGGUGAUGGGGGGGAGAGGGACAACAGGAGGGCGAAGGAAAACAGCUUUAUCAAUCAAGUUUAUUCAUUGGUGACAUAAGGGCCCCAUAGGUGUACUGGGAUGUGACUGACACUAAUAAAACCUUACCUUCUUA